GACGUAGGGCGCGAGCGUUGUCCGGAUUUAUUGGGCGUAAAGAGCUCGUAGGCGGCUUGUCGCGUCGACUGUGAAAACCCGUGGCUCAACCAUGUGGUCUGCAGUCGAUACGGGCAGGCUAGAAUUCGGUAGGGGAGACUGGAAUUCCUGGUGUAGCGGUGAAAAUGCGCAGAUAUCAGGAGGAACACCGGUGGCGAAGGCGGGUCUCUGGGCCGAUAUUGACGCUGAGGAGCGAAAGCGUGGGGAGCGAACAGG
rnacentral:rRNA from 1 species